GCUGGGUGUGGUGGCUCACACCUGUAAUCCCAGCACCUUGGGAGGCUGAGGCGGGCGGAUCACUUGAGGUCAGGAGUUCCAGACCAGCCUGGCCAACACAGUGAAACCCUGUCUUUA
rnacentral:SRP_RNA from 1 species